CUGCGUAUUAUUGGGUAAUUUUUACCUAUUACCACAGGUGUUUUAAUUUAGUUAUCAUUAAAGUUUAUAAAUUAUGCUAAUCCACUACCGGCUAUACAUGGGAUUUUUAGAUUGAUUAAAAGGGAAGGGAUAGCCAUCUUGACCCACUAGGUUGUCCCUAUUUUGUUAGAUCUGAUCCUUUCCUUGUUAAAUAAGUGUGAUCAUCGAUGGGUUGCUAAU